AGUCAAGUAAUUAAGUGCAUGUGGUGGAUGCCUUGGCAGUCAGAGGCGAUGAAAGACGUGAUAGCCUGCGAAAAGCUCCGGGGAGGCGGCAAAUAUCCUUUGAUCCGGAGAUGUCUGAAUGGGGGAACCCACCUACUUUAAGGUAGGUAUUGCAACAUGAAUACAUAGUGUUGCAAGGCGAACGAGGGGAAGUGAAACAUCUCAGUACCCUUAGGAAAAGAAAUCAAUUGAGAUUCCCUCAGUAGCGGCGAGCGAACGGGGAUCAGCCCAUUAAGUUAUGUGUGUUUUAGUGGAACGCUCUGGGAAGUGCGAACGUAGAGGGUGAUAUUCCCGUACACGAAAGGGCACACAUAAUGAUGACGAGUAGGGCGAGGCACGUGAAACCUUGUCUGAAUAUGGGGGGACCAUCCUCCAAGGCUAAAUACUCCUGACUGACCGAUAGUGAACCAGUACCGUGAGGGAAAGGCGAAAAGAACCCCUGUGAGGGGAGUGAAAUAGAUCCUGAAACCGCAUGCAUACAAGCAGUGGGAGCACCUUCGUGGUGUGACUGCGUACCUUUUGUAUAAUGGGUCAGCGACUUAUAUUCAGUAGCAAGGUUAACCGUAUAGGGGAGCCGUAGAGAAAUCGAGUCUUAAUAGGGCGUUUAGUUGCUGGGUAUAGACCCGAAACCAGGCGAUCUAUCCAUGAGCAGGUUGAAGGUUGGGUAACACUAACUGGAGGACCGAACCCACUGUCGUUGAAAAGCCAGGGGAUGACUUGUGGAUAGGGGUGAAAGGCUAAUCAAGCCUGGUGAUAGCUGGUUCUCCCCGAAAGCUAUUUAGGUAGCGCCUCGGACGAAUACCAUAGGGGGUAGAGCACUGUUUCGGCUAGGGGGUCAUCCCGACUUACCAAACCGAUGCAAACUCCGAAUACCUAUGAGUACUAUCCGGGAGACAGACUGCGGGUGCUAACGUCCGUAGUCAAGAGGAAAACAAUCCAGACCGCCAGCUAAGGCCCCAAAAUCAUAGUUAAGUGGGAAACGAUGUGGGAAGGCAUAGACAGCUAGGAGGUUGGCUUAGAAGCAGCCACCCUUUAAAGAAAGCGUAAUAGCUCACUAGUCGAGUCGGCCUGCGCGGAAGAUGUAACGGGGCUAAAACUAUGUGCCGAAGCUGCGGAUUUGACAUUAGUCAAGUGGUAGGGGAGCGUUCUGUAAGCCGAUGAAGGUGUGUUGAGAAGCAUGCUGGAGGUAUCAGAAGUGCGAAUGCUGACGUGAGUAACGACAAAACGGGUGAAAAACCCGUUCGCCGAAAGACCAAGG
rnacentral:rRNA from 1 species